AGAGUUUGAUCCUGGCUCAGGAUGAACGCUGGCGGCGUGCCUAAUACAUGCAAGUCGAGCGAACGGACGAGAAGCUUGCUUCUCUGAUGUUAGCGGCGGACGGGUGAGUAACACGUGGAUAACCUACCUAUAAGACUGGGAUAACUUCGGGAAACCGGAGCUAAUACCGGAUAAUAUUUUGAACCGCAUGGUUCAAAAGUGAAAGACGGUCUUGCUGUCACUUAUAGAUGGAUCCGCGCUGCAUUAGCUAGUUGGUAAGGUAACGGCUUACCAAGGCAACGAUGCAUAGCCGACCUGAGAGGGUGAUCGGCCACACUGGAACUGAGACACGGUCCAGACUCCUACGGGAGGCAGCAGUAGGGAAUCUUCCGCAAUGGGCGAAAGCCUGACGGAGCAACGCCGCGUGAGUGAUGAAGGUCUUCGGAUCGUAAAACUCUGUUAUUAGGGAAGAACAUAUGUGUAAGUAACUGUGCACAUCUUGACGGUACCUAAUCAGAAAGCCACGGCUAACUACGUGCCAGCAGCCGCGGUAAUACGUAGGUGGCAAGCGUUAUCCGGAAUUAUUGGGCGUAAAGCGCGCGUAGGCGGUUUUUUAAGUCUGAUGUGAAAGCCCACGGCUCAACCGUGGAGGGUCAUUGGAAACUGGAAAACUUGAGUGCAGAAGAGGAAAGUGGAAUUCCAUGUGUAGCGGUGAAAUGCGCAGAGAUAUGGAGGAACACCAGUGGCGAAGGCGACUUUCUGGUCUGUAACUGACGCUGAUGUGCGAAAGCGUGGGGAUCAAACAGGAUUAGAUACCCUGGUAGUCCACGCCGUAAACGAUGAGUGCUAAGUGUUAGGGGGUUUCCGCCCCUUAGUGCUGCAGCUAACGCAUUAAGCACUCCGCCUGGGGAGUACGACCGCAAGGUUGAAACUCAAAGGAAUUGACGGGGACCCGCACAAGCGGUGGAGCAUGUGGUUUAAUUCGAAGCAACGCGAAGAACCUUACCAAAUCUUGACAUCCUUUGACAACUCUAGAGAUAGAGCCUUCCCCUUCGGGGGACAAAGUGACAGGUGGUGCAUGGUUGUCGUCAGCUCGUGUCGUGAGAUGUUGGGUUAAGUCCCGCAACGAGCGCAACCCUUAAGCUUAGUUGCCAUCAUUAAGUUGGGCACUCUAAGUUGACUGCCGGUGACAAACCGGAGGAAGGUGGGGAUGACGUCAAAUCAUCAUGCCCCUUAUGAUUUGGGCUACACACGUGCUACAAUGGACAGUACAAAGGGCAGCGAAACCGCGAGGUCAAGCAAAUCCCAUAAAGUUGUUCUCAGUUCGGAUUGUAGUCUGCAACUCGACUACAUGAAGCUGGAAUCGCUAGUAAUCGUAGAUCAGCAUGCUACGGUGAAUACGUUCCCGGGUCUUGUACACACCGCCCGUCACACCACGAGAGUUUGUAACACCCGAAGCCGGUGGAGUAACCUUUUAGGAGCUAGCCGUCGAAGGUGGGACAAAUGAUUGGGGUGAAGUCGUAACAAGGUAGCCGUAUCGGAAGGUGCGGCUGGAUCACCU
rnacentral:rRNA from 1 species